CCGGCGACCGGCGCACGGGUGAGUAACACGUAUGCAACCUGCCCUCUUCAGGGGGACAACCUUCCGAAAGGGAGGCUAAUCCCGCGUAUAUCGGUUUCGGGCAUCCGAGAUCGAGGAAAGAUUCAUCGGAAGAGGAUGGGCAUGCGGCGCAUUAGCUAGACGGCGGGGUAACGGCCCACCGUGCCGACGAUGCGUAGGGGUUCUGAGAGGAAGGUCCCCCACACUGGUACUGAGACACGGACCAGACUCCUACGGAAGGCAGCAG
rnacentral:rRNA from 1 species